AUUGAACGCUGGCGGCAUGCCUUACACAUGCAAGUCGAACGGUAACAGGUCUUCGGAUGCUGACGAGUGGCGAACGGGUGAGUAAUACAUCGGAACGUGCCCAGACGUGGGGGAUAACGAGGCGAAAGCUUUGCUAAUACCGCAUACGAUCUAAGGAUGAAAGCAGGGGACCGCAAGGCCUUGCGCGUUUGGAGCGGCCGAUGGCAGAUUAGGUAGUUGGUGGGAUAAAAGCUUACCAAGCCGACGAUCUGUAGCUGGUCUGAGAGGACGACCGGCCACACUGGGACUGAGACACGGCCCAGACUCCUACGGGAGGCAGCAGUGGGGAAUUUUGGACAAUGGGCGAAAGCCUGAUCCAGCAAUGCCGCGUGCAGGAUGAAGGCCUUCGGGUUGUAAACUGCUUUUGUACGGAACGAAAAGGCUCUGGCUAAUACCUGGGGCACAUGACGGUACCGUAAGAAUAAGCACCGGCUAACUACGUG
rnacentral:rRNA from 1 species